ensembl:lncRNA
GUUGGUUCUUUUGUUUUUGUUUUUGUUUUUGUGUGUGUGUGUGUGUGUUUUUAUUGUCUUUUGUCUGUGCAUGAGUGAUAAGGAAACCACCCACUGAUACAUUGACAAAAUGAACACUGACAGACAGCCGGGCGCUGGUGUUCAUCCCAUGCCAACCAGAUGGAGAUGUUUGAUAGUAUUCCACCUCAAACCUGAUUUGGCAAAUAUAGAUCCAGUAGACGUAGAGUGUGCAGUUAACACUGGUUUAUUUUUAUGGCAAAUAUUAGCUAUGUACCUAUAUCCUCUGAUAUCUGUAACUUGUGCCUCUGGACUCCUAUAGAUAUGCUAUAUUGCAUAGUGCUAAUUGUUUUUCAAUUCUUUCCUUGAUGGAGAAAUGGGUACAUCUUCGCUCUGUCUGCCAGGGGUAAUAUAUAUCAACUUGUUUAUGAGCUAUCAGAGAAAAAAAAAAGCACACUUGUAGCGUAGGAAGCACUAGCGUCGAUUCAUUCUUUAAUCUUUAAAGCAAAUAGAUGCACAGGCAGCCAUACAAAGUUGUAAGUAUAGUUUUAAAUGUUUAAAGUAAUUUUCUGUAGCCAAGUAGCAUUGGUGCAUUAAUGUAUAGACAAAAGUUAUUGCUUAAAAAUAUAUACUGUGAUCUCAUCAUCCAAUCUGUCAAUCCUUCUGAUAUACGCAGCUUGAAAUCAGAAAAAAAACUAUCUAUAUAGUAUAUAUAUAUAUAUGAGUGAUGUGAGAUGUGUAUGACAAACAAUUUUUCUUAUCAGCUGUUGUGGCUGUUUCUUGAAAAAUGUACACUUUUAAAAAGAGUUAUGUGUGUUGACGUAAUGUGUGCUAGUGAUGUUGAAUCCCAGCAAUGUUAUGAGCAGUUGCUAAAGGUUAGUUGAGUAGAGUAGAGUAGAGUAAAAUAGGAUUAGAAAAAAAAAAUAGUUUUGUCUGAAAUCCUGUGGUAGAUGUAUGGGGACCACUUCUCCAUUUGAACUCUUUGUCUCUUGUACUAUGUAUCUUCAUGCAACAGGGUCUCAGGUAUACUUGAUUUAAUUGGCCUUAUUUUCAUAGUUGUACAAUAGACAUCAAUAUUUGGGAACCUGGGUGUGCCUCCAGGUGCUCUUAAAUCUGAAUAAUCAAACCACAAAAAAGCUGAGAUCUGAGAUGUAACAUGAUUCUGUGUGAUGUCUGUGUAGAUCUUAAAAAUAGCACCCAAAUAUGUUAUUUGAUUAGACACAAGAUAUUGAUAAUGGUUGGCUACAUAUAUAGAAAGUCCUUUUUCCCUUUAAUGUUUUAAAGCUGGUGGGAAAAUGCAUUGAAAUGCAUUCAGAAAUCUUAUGCUCAUUAUGCGCGUUAGUGGCCAUGGACGUUGAGUUACAAUCACUGCUCAGCAUCCAGUUGUUGUGGGAGGUUGUGAUUACUGCGAGCAGAAGGACCUCUUUCUGUGUCUGGCUUUGGUCUUCUCUGGUCAGAUUCUUCCCUGUGCGCUGACAUCAUCCCGCACCAAUCACGGGGAGCAUUCCCACAUUCCAAAGCAAUCGGAGUGAUUUGUUUAAACAGCAGACAAGGGAAAUGAGCUUGCCUUCGCAAAACGUAAACAGGUCUUGAUUAAAAUGGCCCACUGUUGAUUCAUGGGACCGAGAGUCCUGGAGGCAUGAGCCUACCGAACGGGCUGUGGAGUUAAUUGGAGUCUGCGUAUACAAUGCAAGCAAUAUGGCAGCCGUAACACUGAGAUUUACGGGUCCGCUCGGGCCGAUGCAUGCGUUUUCAUAGCCAUGAAAUGAAGGGCAACGCACAAGCGUGUUCCACUAAUCAUGGCUUAACAGUGCAGUGACAUACACAUGAACCUUGAGGGACAAGAGGGACAAAAAAUCGCUUUAUUAUAUGUGCAAAAAUGUUGCUUUUCCCAGUGAUGUUUAGUGUUCUUUAUCUGUGUUUUGUUUUGAUUGUCUGUAUAUGUGUGUGUGUGUGUGUGUGUGUGUGUUUGUAUGUCUGCGUGUGUAUGUUUGUGUGUGUGUGCAGCUUUAGACGUAUCUAACUGAUUUCAUCAAUACUUAACCAGCCAACCAGCUCCGGGCAUGGUCCGAUGCAGGCCGGUGUGUUGGGAAAAAAAAGGAUGGAAGCUGUAAUGUAUCUGCAAUGGAAGUUCACAGCAUAUCUGUGAACUGUUCUUUAUAUAGUACAGUAUUACUUAUUUAAAUGGUUGCCUUUCAGACCACCCUUGUGGAUCUGACCUGAAAAUAAAUUCUGUGACAGAUGCCAGAGGGCUGGAUGACUGAAGCAGCAAUUCAGCUUCUUUACUUAUUCAUCAGUCUUCGAAAACACCAGUGUGUUCCAGGGCUGCUCCAGUUGUUCCAAUGCAACUGGUUUAACUGGGACCUGAUCAACCUAAAAUUCAUACUUAAAACAGUUUACCAAGGUCAAUUCUUAAGGAUUGUGUUAUCGGCAUCGGCCAAUAGUUUAAAAGUUACCAUAGGUGCUGGUUGGAAUGCGUUUAUCAGUCCUUGUGUUCAUAUAUUUUGUCAUUAGGGCCUAUUCAGUAAUGCUAAUCAAAUACUCUGAGCAAAUAGUUAUCUGGCUUGCAUGCGCUGUUUGUGUUGCUGUGUUCCUUUGUCCAUGUGUGGUUGUGCCCAGCCCUUCCCCACUGCCCUUGCAUGUGUGCUCUCACCAGCCGCUUGAGCUGAGCUUCCCAUCACUUCCGUCCAUGAAUGAGUGAGGGGAUGAUGGUGUGAUCCGAUUUUUCCCUUCACAGCGAUGAAAGUCAUCACUUUAAUGCCUAUGGGACAACACUGGGCAGUAGGUAACCAAAGAAGGAGAAUGUCAUGAAGCGUUCUAAUGGAAGACGAAUGUGAAUGGAAAUGGAACAAAUAUAUUCCAUGUGUUUAGGAGACUGAGAUACUGCCACUCAUGUUCCAUUUAGUGGUCAUUAAUCUUUGCCAAUACGUUACAACACAUCUUCAGGUAACCAUUGGCCUUAUAGAUGUCCUCUGAUAUUAAACUAUUGUAUGUAUUUCCAACAUAAAGAUACAGAGUAGCUUAUAGCUGUCAUAUAUAUCAAAACUCAAAUGUAAUGUAUGUUGUGUCUUUUGGCACUUUAUUGUGGACCUAUCACUGCAUAGGUUAAAUUUCUAAUUACUUGGGUAAUGUCAUAAAUUUCUGUGUUCUAUGUGAGGUACACCUGCCUAUGGAUACAGACAUGUACCUCAAACAGACCAUGACAUUCUUUGGUUUUAAAAUAGAGUAUAAAUAUAUAAUGAAAAAAAGUUUUAAAUUCUGUGCCAGAAAAAAAGAGAAAGUUAUCAUAUAUGUGAAAUGCAUAGUUUAUUUUAAAUGUCAUUAAUUAUUGAGGCCCUACCUCAGAUUUUGUAUUUAUGUAUAGAGAUGCAAUUAAAGUAUAGUAUCUUUGCCAAUAAUAUAAUAAUAAAAAUACCAUAAUUAUCAUGAAAUGUAUAACCUCUA